UGGCGGACGGGUGAGUAACACGUAGGUAACCAACCCUAAAGCGGGGGACAACUCAGGGAAACUUGAGCUAAUACCGCAUAAGACCACGGGCUGAAAGGCCAGUGGUAAAAGGAGCAAUCCACUUUAGGCUGGGCCUGCGGCCUAUCAGGUUGUUGGCGGGGUAAGAGCCCACCAAGCCAAAGACGGGUAGCCGGACUGAGAGGUUGAACGGCCACACUGGAACUGAGACACGGUCCAGACUCCUACGGGAGGCAGCAGUGGGGAAUUUUGCGCAAUGGGGGAAAACCCUGACCCAGCGACCCCGCGUGGAGGAUGAAGGGCUUUCGGAAUUGGUAACUUCCUUUUUUUAGGGGAACAUAAAUGGAUGGGCCCCUUCGGAAAUAAGCCCCGGUUAAAUCCUUUGCCCACCACCCCCGGUAA
rnacentral:rRNA from 1 species